AUAAUAAAUGGGCAUCUUUUUCAUUCAUAUUGUUUAUGUAUCUAUGAAUCGUCCAAGGAAUUAAUAAGAUGAUGAUGCAUAUUCUCAAGUAUUGAGAAUUUGAGCCAUAUGUCAUUAGUGAUUAAUUUCUAAAUGCUCCUAAUCGAUGGAUCAUCACGAGGAUGGUGAUUGAUCCGAUGAGAUUAGUGCACAGAUCACUUUUCAUAUGGGUGGACAAGUCUUGAGUCCACAGUGUAGAGACACUGAAGUGAUAGUGCAGUUGCUUGUUAGAGAACAAGGGUAUUGAGCAUGACCAAGAUAAGAAGUCACUUGGAUGUCUAUCCACUCGUCAGUGACUUACUUGAUGUUGCAAUAGUAUGACUGAUCCUCUGAUCUGGGGUGCUUCGGCCACUCACCGUAAGGUUACUGUAGUUUGACUACACGUAUACAUAGUCUCUUGCCAUAUGGAUCUUUGUGGUGUAGAUUGGCUGCAGUAGGAUCACUGUAGAAGUAGGGUAUGCACCUACAAGAAAUCUAUCAACCUUGGUAGAUAAGAAAUGAUCCUAUGUGAUUUAUAAGACUGAGUUCGUAAGACCUCGGCCGAGGCAGUAUGUAUAGUGGAAAAAGAAUUUUCCACUUCUCGAACUUAAGUCGAAUAAAUCUUGACAUAUGAUAGACGAUGAGGUUUGAUGAGUUAUCCGUGACCUCCGUCCUAUAGGGAUCCACGAUAGAAGGAUUGUAUCAUGCGAAAACUGUACCUAGAGGUUCAUCAUUUUAUUCUAUUGGGUAGCCACUACAUGCUGCUAGGUGUCACUGGUGGAUGGUACGACUUACAAGGAUUAUCUUGAUGAUUGAUGAUCCCUGGUGAGUUGAGUUGGAAUUGUUCCAACUCAUUGAAAGAAGUUUUCAAUGAUAUUGUGAUAGAGAUCGCAAUAUAUCUCACUACCAGACAGAAUAAAACCUAUGAGGUCACACACAUUAGAGGUAUUGACCGAUCCGAUGGUUGAAUUGUGAUUAGUAAUCACAAACAAUUCAUAAUUAUCAAUUUGAUUGAUAAUUAGUGUAACCCACUAAGAGUUAGUGAGUUAAGAAGGAAUAAUUGCAAUUAGAUUACAAUUUAAUUGAAUCAAUUGGAUUUAAAUUAAUUGGACUUAAUCAUAUUAAAUUAGAAUCCUAUUUGGAGUAGGAUUUCUAAAGUUCUAAUUGGAUUAGGACUGAAAUUUAAUAAGUCCUAAUUACAUUAGGAGUUCUUAAGUUCUAAUUAAUUUUAAUCUAAUUAAUCUAAUGACUCCUAAUUGGAUUAGGAUUGAAGAGUUCAAUUGAAUCAUGGUUCAAUUGAAUCCUAAUUGGAUUAGGAUUUGAAAGGAAAGAAAAUGGGUGCACCUAAUCCUCUUUGGAAGAGGAUUGGACCCCUAGCAUUAGACCCAACCCCCUCACU
rnacentral:lncRNA from 1 species